rnacentral:tRNA from 1 species
UAUUAAAGUGGCAGAAACAUGCGUCAAAUUUAAGCUUUGAAGAUGGGAAUAUUCCCCUUUAAUAU